GAUGAACGCUAGCGAUAGGCCUAACACAUGCAAGUCGAGGGGCAUCACAUGAAGUAGCAAUACGGAUGGUGGCGACCGGCGCACGGGUGAGUAACACGUAUGCAACCUGCCUUCAACAAGGGGAUAACCCGUUGAAAGACGGACUAAUACCCUAUAACACAGGGGUCCCGCAUGGGAAUAUUUGUUAAAGGACAACCGGUUGAAGAUGGGCAUGCGUUCCAUUAGCUAGUUGGCGGGUAACGGCCCACCAAGGCAACGAUGGAUAGGGGAACUGAGAGGUUUAUCCCCCACACUGGUACUGAGACACGGACCAGACUCCUACGGGAGGCAGCAGUGAGGAAUAUUGGUCAAUGGACGCAAGUCUGAACCAGCCACGUCGCGUGAAGGAAGACGGCCCUACGGGUUGUAAACUCUUUUAACGGGAAUAAAGUGCCCCACGCGUGGGGUUUUGCAUGUACCGUAUGAAUAAGGAUCGGCUAACUCCGUG
rnacentral:rRNA from 1 species